GAUGAACGCUGGCGGCGUGCUUAACACAUGCAAGUCGAACGAUUAAACCGCCCUCGGGCGGAAAUAGAGUGGCGAACGGGUGAGUAACACGUGACCAACCUGCCCCGCGCUCCGGGACAACCGCUGGAAACGGCGGCUAAUACCGGAUACUCCGGCCAGCCCGCAUGGGCCGGCCGGGAAAGCCUUCACGGCGCGGGAUGGGGUCGCGGCCCAUUAGGUAGUAGGCGGGGUAACGGCCCACCUAGCCCGCGAUGGGUAGCCGGACUGAGAGGUCGACCGGCCACAUUGGGACUGAGAUACGGCCCAG
rnacentral:rRNA from 1 species